UUCUCGAUUCUAAGAGAGCUAUAAAUUUUAUUGUCAAAAAUAUUUUUAAUUUGAAGUGAGAUGUUGAUUUAUCUAGUUUUUAAAGAAAAUUUAAUUUUCUUAUAGUCAGGGGGAUGAGCUUCUGGUAGAAUUAAAAUUUUUGUUAUAAUUGGCUUAUUUAAAUAUAGUUUUUAAUUUGACUAGUAAUUAUGAUGGAAUUAGUAAUAGGUUAGCAAAAGGAAUUCGGCAAUAAUUUUUCACCUGUUUACUAAAAACAUGUCCUUUAGAUUAUGAUUUAAGGUCUGGCCUGCCCCCUGAGGCUGCGGUACUUUGACCGUGCAAAGGUAGCAUAAUCAUUAGUUCCCUAAUUAGGAGCUGGAAUGAACGGUUUGAUGAAAAAAUAACUGUCUCUUGUUAAAUAAAUUUUAUUUUUAAGUUAAAAAGCUUAAAUUUUCUUAAAAGACGAGAAGACCCUAUAGAGUUUUAUUUUAAUUGGGGUGAUUAAAAAAUUAAUUUAACUUUUGAUUAUUAGAUAAAAUUACCUUAGGGAUAACAGCGUAAUUUUUCUUAGAGUUCUAAUCGAAAGAAUAGUUUGCGACCUCGAUGUUGGAUUAAAGUUUAUUUAGGUGUAGGAGCU
rnacentral:rRNA from 1 species